GGGGGCGUGGUGUAGUGGUUAACACGCUGGCCUGUCAAGCCAGAGAUCGCGGGUUCGAGUCCCGUCGUCCCCG
rnacentral:tRNA from 1 species